GCCAUUUGGGGUCGGAUUUGAGAACUUUUGAUAUGUAUGAACUCAUGGGGAGAUAAGGAACCUAUUGAUGUAAAAAUUAUUGAAUUCUGAGAUGUGGGCCCGGGGGUCGAGUUUUGGUAAUUUCGAGAUUUGUGCCCUUUAUUGAUUGCUUUCGCUUGGGCUUCGUUCCCUUAGCAUAUUUUGAUGUUCUCGUUCUGAUUUUGGAUAGAUUCAACGCGCGUGGAGGCCGAUUCUAGAGGCAAAGGUGUCGCGAGUUAGAGAUUUGACUAGUUCGAGGUGAGUAAUGAUUGUUAAUAAUGUUCUAAGGUUUUGAAACCCUGGAUUUCACAUCGUAGUGCUAUAUUGAGGUGAGGCACACGCUUGACGACGAGCGUGGGGUCGUGCACUAUUGGGGAUUGUGACUUGGUCCGUCCCGUUUGAUGAUUUUACUGCGUAUUUGACUGAAAUCUAUUUGUCAUCAUCAUUAUUUGGGCUGAAUGCCAUAUUUGGGCCUUAUUCCAACUAUUUGAACCCUUCAGGGAUUUUUACUGGUAUUUCCUCACUGUUUUGACUUUAUACUUGAACUCAGUCAUGUUAUAUUUCACUGUUUUUUGUACUCAGCCAUGUUUACUCUGUUUUUACACUCACAUGAUCUUUUAAAUGAUAUUUUGGGAUGAGAAACAUGUUUUAUUACUGCCCGAGUGGCUUGUGAGGAUUUUUGACUGAGUAAGGUUGAGGGACUAUGCUGUGAGGAAACAUUUGAUACUGAUUAUGAGGCCGAGGGCCUGAGAUAUGUACGCCACGAGGUGGCUUGAUUGAUAUGAGGCUGAGGGCCUAGUGAUGAUGCCACAAGGUUGCUUGAUAUUGCGCUUGGGCUGUAAGGGGCCCCUCCAGGAGUUUGUACACCCCCAGUAAGCGUGGGUACCCAUUGUGAUGUGAGAUUGAGCCCGAAAGGCUGGUAUUGUUCUGAGAUAUUGUCCGAGGGGCAGAUUUGUUGAUACUGUGCCCUAGUGGCGAAUUUCUAUUUAUUUACUUUACCUUAACUGUUUGUCAAUUACCUAUUUACUUGUUAGAGAAGGAUUGUUACUUAACUUUUCACUGGUUUACUGCUUUUAAAUGGUUUUACUGCUUUAUUAUAGAAUGCUUUGUGCCUUACGUGAUUUCUUGCUUUUAGUCUUUAUUUACAUUUGUUACUCACUGAGUUGGAAUACUCACUUUAUUCCCUGCACCCCUGUGUGCAGAUUCAGGCGUAGCUAGUUCUGCUCCCGAGUGCUGAUCCCUCCAGCUUCAGGCGGACAUUCGGAGUUCACAAGGUAGUUGUUGGCAUCUGCAGCCCCGUGUCUCUACUCCUUUAUCACUUCUAUCUCUUUUCAGACAGUUGUACUAGUUUAUUGACUUAGCGGAUUUGUAUUAUGACUUAUAGAUGCCCAUGACUAGUGACACCCAGGUUUCGGGUUGUGUUGGGUUAUUCUUCCGCGUAUUUAUGAUAUUAUCUGCUACUUUGGAUUAUUUUAUCAUGUUUCGACUCUUUCUAAAUGCUUAAUUGUUAAUAAAAUUGGAAAAUGGGAAGUGUCAGCUAGCCUUGUCUUCACGACAAGCACCAUCACGAUCGG
rnacentral:lncRNA from 1 species